CAGGAUUUAAACCCUCUUCUUUCUUUCUCUCUAGGGUUUUUCUCUCUCUGAGUAGAAAUCAAGGGUUUGAGCUUGAUUUCAUCUCCUUCUUGAUACUUGCAGGUUUAGGAAGGAUUGAAGCAGCUCAUACAAAGUGGAAAGAGUGUUUUAGCAGCAAUUCUUCAACCCUAAAACACAGAUUUGCUGAGGAGGAUCUGUAGAAAGCAGGUUUGUGGGGAAGUUGUAACAGCUUUAGAGAAGUUAUUUGCUGUGAUUCUUCAGCCUUAAACCGAGGAUAAGCUGAAUUGAAGUUGAAAGGACAUGUGAACCUUGUAACUGAGUUUCGAGUAACUUUUGACGCUGGUAUUGCUGAAGUCCUACAAUUCGAAACCAGGGGAAGUUAGAUCGAAACUUGGAAAAACAGCCGUGAGAAUUACUUUGAGCUGAAUAUCUUGACGUUGUGAGCUGGUUUGAGUGUACUUCAACCAGUAGGAAGUGGAAUUACAAGUUUGGAAUCUAAACAACAGGUUCGCAGCAGCAUGGUAGAACCCUUUUGAACUGAAAUUGAGAGCUUUCGAAGGUUGAUUAUAGGUGUUCUAACCUGAACCGAAGCAAGAAUUCCAACUUUGACACUAUUUUAGGGUGCUUGGAGGCUUCGGGCUACCUUUGCCGCAAGAUUGAUUUGAAUCGUCAAUUAGUAGAGCCUUCCACAGUGGAAAAUGCUAGGGUUCCUGGCGAAGAGGUCAGCGGCGAGCUAGAGCCUUUUCGAUGUUAAAUAGACAGACCUCUACCAGUUUAGGCAGUUUAGUUUUGUGUUGCAUACUGAGAUUACUUAGACUAUAUUUUAUUUUAUCAGUUGUAAUAAGGUUAUGUGUGGUAUAAGUUUAUGAACGUAUCGCUUUGCUUUGAUUACCUAG